GCUAAGGACGUGCCAUGGGCCGCGGUAAGCGGUGGGGGGCAAGCGUUAAGCGUAAGUACUGGGCGUAAAGCGGGCGCAGGCGGUUGUGUAAGACAGGUGUGAAAUCCCCGGGCUUAACCUGGGAAUUGCAUUUGUGACUGCACGACUAGAGUGUGUCAGAGGGGGGUGGAAUUCCACGUGUAGCAGUGAAAUGCGUAGAUAUGUGGAGGAACACCAAUGGCGAAGGCAGCCCCCUGGGAUAACACUGACGCUCAUGCACGAAAGCGUGGGGAGCAAACAGGAUUAGAUACCCGAGUAGUC
rnacentral:rRNA from 1 species